UCACUCUGGCUUCUCUUGUGCAUGUGAUCGCUGUUAAUUGUGUACAUAUGUCAUGCCAAUAAAAAAAAAAAAAAAAAAAGAUCAUUUUGCCUUUUACUAAAGAAUUCCGUGGGAGAGGAGCAGUUCAAUGAGUCUUGAUCAUUUUUCGAUAUCCGACUUUUGGUCGGUUU
rnacentral:snRNA from 1 species